rnacentral:rRNA from 1 species
UUUGGUGUUGGCAGCGGUCCAAGUUCCUUGGAACAGGACGUCACAGAGGGUGAGAAUCCCGUACGUGGUCGCUAGCCUUCGCCGUGUAAAGCCCCUUCGACGAGUCGAGUUGUUUGGGAAUGCAGCUCUAAAUGGGAGGUAAAUUUCUUCUAAAGCUAAAUACUGGCCAGAGACCGAUAGCGCACAAGUAGAGUGAUCGAAAGAUGAAAAGCACUUUGGAAAGAGAGUCAAAUAGCACGUGAAAUUGUUGAAAGGGAAGCGCUUGCAGCCAGACUUGCCUGUAGUUGCUUAUCCGGACUUUUGUCCGGUGCACUCUUCUGCGGGCAGGCCAGCAUCAGUUUGGGCGGUUGGAUAAAGGUCUCUGUCAUGUACCUCUCUUCGGGGAGGACUUAUAGGGGAGGCGACAUGCAACCAGCCUGGA